UACCCGUGUUAUCCCUUAUAAUCGAUCGAUACACAGAAUUCAUCAUAAUCAGAAAUGAAAAGCCUUAAACUUAUCGUAACGCACCGCCUCUGCCAUCAUCUCCACAGCUCUUAGAUUCUGACAACGUUUCAAGCGACGAGGGUUUCAAUAUUCGAAGGGCAGUUGGAGCGAGAUUAGAAAGAUUUUGGUGAAUAAGAUCACGUCCCCUUCAAAGACCUCAGCUGGGAUCUUGCUUCGCCAAGGCAUAUAACAUACAAUUGUAUUGAACACAGCACUGGGACUUGUUUGGCCAAAAGAUGUACGUAGAUUGUGAAAUUUUUGAAAUUACUUAUGUAUGCAAAUUAAAACUAUGAGAUUUCAAGGGUGCCCUGGUUGAUGCUGAAUUUGCAUUGCGAGAAAGAGACGGGUAUGACAAAGCAUACUUUCGCCAGGGUCAGGUUAGUGUCCUUAUCUUUGCAACCUUUAUAUGUUAAUGUACCUAUAACCAUAACUUCUUUACAUUCUGAGUAGGAGGGAUUAAUCAUGUGUUAAUAGCAUUUUCUCCUUAAAAUUGAAUUGUGGCAGAUUCAAUAGUCAAUUAUAGGCUUCUACCAAAUUAUGUUAUUAGAGAGAGAAAACAUUAUGGGAUGAUGAACAAAUCUAGCAAGCAUCAUUCAUCAAUGACAUGACAUAAUAACUGUAAUUUAUUUAUAGUUGCAGGUUGCUUAUUAAUAAUCAUGAAUGUUGGAUAGCAUAUUAACAUUAAUAAGUGUAUUUAUGAGGAAAAUAAUAUCAUAUUAACUUGGCAUUUUAAUUUUUAUUCAAUAUUCAAUUUAAAACUUGACAACUCCCCAAUCUGAAUCCAAACAAGACUCAAAAGCGCAUCCAAAUCAUGUGGGACCCAUCAGUGUAUUCAGAGUAGUCGACAAAGAGGUCUGACAAUUUGUGGCUCAAUAUGAGCCACCGGUGGGUAGCUUUCAAUACAACUAACUUCACAUAUAUCUCAUCUAAUCAACAUAGAUAAUGGGAUUAUGCAAUAACAGUGACCUUUUGGUAGUUCUGGAAAGAGAAAAACGGACAACGGUUAAUAUUAUGCAUAAUUCAGUUUGACCUGCUCAAUG